GACGAACGCUGGCGGCGUGCUUAACACAUGCAAGUCGAACGGAAAGGCCCUGCUUUUGUGGGGUGCUCGAGUGGCGAACGGGUGAGUAACACGUGAGUAACCUGCCCUUGACUUUGGGAUAACUUCAGGAAACUGGGGCUAAUACCGGAUAGGAGCUCCUGCUGCUUGGUGGGGGUUGGAAAGUUUCGGCGGUUGGGGAUGGACUCGCGGCUUAUCAGCUUGUUGGUGGGGUAGUGGCUUACCAAGGCUUUGACGGGUAGCCGGCCUGAGAGGGUGACCGGCCACAUUGGGACUGAGAUACGGCCCAGACUCCUACGGGAGGCAGCAGUGGGGAAUAGUGCACAAUGGGCGGAAGCCUGAUGCAGCAACGCCGCGUGCGGGAUGACGGCCUUCGGGUUGUAAACCGCUUUCGCCUGUGACGAAGCGUGAGUGACGGUAAUGGGUAAAGAAGCACCGGCUAACUACGUG
rnacentral:rRNA from 1 species